AAAGUCGUAACAAGGUUUCCGUAGGUGAACCUGCGGAAGGAUCAUUGCAAAUCACGGGGGGGCACGGGGGGUGCGGUGUGUGCGGUUUGUGCGGUUUUUGGGAGUGUGGAGGGGUAUGGAGUGCGCAAGCACCGUAUCCCCCUCUGCCUCCCACAAGCCGCACAAGCUGCACAAGCUGCACUGUCCACGCCCGCCGACAUUUGGUCGGGAUGCGAGUCCCGGAUCAUAUUCACGCUUGUGCAGUUUGACAGAGUACAUGUGGUGGUAAUUUUGACAACUUUUAACAAUGGAUCUCUUGGCUCUU
rnacentral:misc_RNA from 1 species